CAAUGUACAGUUCCUUUAGUUUUUGAAACCAUCCAUCUUGAGAAUGAAAACUUAAACCUUCAUAAGCAUCAAAGCCUAUACAGAGGAUGUUGCAAAUUUUUCAGUGAUUGAAUAGGAUCAUUAGUUAAAUUUCUCAUGUUACUGUUGCUAAGAAAUUAGGGAAGAUACUUGCAGAACAUUUAACUAACUGUGGUUUCAAUUCUUGUCUUCGAGGUGACAUUGUUGCAAUGGAAGGUAAAGUAAAGCAUAAGUUUGAUAUGAAGGCACGCCACGAAAACAUUGAAGAAUAUGGAAAAUUAUAUAGGGAGAGGACAAACAAAUCUUCGAUUAAAAUUUGACAAAUACAUGUAGAAUUUCAUGUUAUUAUUGAGUUAUCACUUAAUUGUUCUUGUUAUAUGUCUAUGGCAAAAUAAUUGAUUCUUUGGUUCCCCUUAUUCAACUCAAAGGUUAUUAAAAAUGAUCGUGGACUUCUAUGAAGCCAAUGCCUAGAAUGGUUGGUUUAAUUUCACCCAGUUCGAAGAUCUAGUAUUUUUCUGAGGUUGGAGUCUAUUGUAAAGUUGAAGGAGCCAAAGAGUUUUGACAUUGCUACUUGCAUAGAGAAAUUGGACUAGAGUUAUAUGCAACACUGAAAUAUCAAGAGGCACUUCAGUUACAAAGUUCUGGAUUAAAUGGUCAAAUCCUACACAACACUCUUAGUAAACUCACUGCACUUGAGAAUUUGAGUCUUGAAUGAAUCGUUGCAAAGGCAAGAGCAAGAAAAGUUGUUGAUGAAGCAACAAUUGCAACGACAAGAAAAGAAGAUGGUCAAGACCAACAAAAAUUCACGUUUCUUAUGCAACAUUUAUGAUUUGUUGAAUCUUUUGGUAGUGAUCAUAUUGAGUAGUAUUUGUUUUUAUUUUGUUAAAUUGGUUGUAUCAUGUACUACUUGAUUAUACUUAGUUUUUUUUCAAAUUCUGCUUUAAUUAAUAAUUAGUUAUGAU